CUACUGUUUUUCUCAACAUAUACUCUAACUGUCCUAUUUUGGGCUGAGAUAUAUCACCAAGCUAAGAAUUUACCAACGAGUAAACUCAGGAUUAUAUAUGGUUUACUAGCACAAGAAGAUUACUGUCAUCUGAUGCAACUGCGGGUGCAUCUCCUUUGACGCCAACACUCGCUGAUCGCUAUGGGAAAGCUGAAGCUGAGAAAGCCGUCUCUAAACCUUCAAAAGUCCAAGCAAUUCUCAAAAACAUAAAACAACUUCUUCACUAUGCAAUUAAUUCGGUGAUAUAUCGGUUAUCGGUUCCCAUGUGAAAUAUCGGUGUUAAAUAUCAGUCAGAAUAUUGAUACCAAUGGUUGGCGCAUAGGUAGAAGUUUUUAGAGCAGUUGUGGGAGAGGAUGCUUACAAACAUCUUGAAGGGGAUACAUGGCAAGAGUUCUCCUUAGACCGGCAAAGUGCCUGGCAUGAGUUUUGCUCUAGCUUAUGUAAUUAACUACGUCGAUGCGACUCAGUGAGAACCUA